ACAACAAGUUCCAACAGUUUAAGCUCUAUUCAAAAAGCGUAUUGGGCGUGAAUCACAGUCAUAUUGGACUGUAGAAGCAAUAGAUUCAGAAAACAAUGUCAAAAGGCUCAAAG